rnacentral:lncRNA from 1 species
UCGCAAUUGAAAAUUAAUUAUCAUAUUUUUUUGUUGAAAAAAUAGGUUUUACUAGCGAAUGGUUGUUGGAGCCUUAGUCGCCACUAAAAAUCACUCAUAACCUUUAGUGGCAAUAUUUUGGGAUUUUGUGGCGACUUUGUCGCCACUAAAAGUCAGGUUCUUUUGUAGUGAAUCUUAGUUGGCAAUGCUUAGGUGGAGGGAUUAGUCCCAUGUGGCUUGCCACGUCACUAAAAAAUUGGGGUGUUAACUCUUGAGGGUAUUUGUGGUCUCCUGGGAUAACUGCGGGGGUAUUUUUGAUCCCAAAAUGUAAUGGAGGGU